rnacentral:lncRNA from 1 species
GAAAGAGAUCUUCAUGUAAACAGAGUCCCUCUUACUGGCUGAAGUGAAGAGUCAUUCUGAGGCAUCUCAAGAUGAAGGUUUCCUAUUUGUGAUUAUGAAAAAAAUGUCAAGAACAAGUCCCUUGGUGUUCUUAGACCGAAGUCAGAACAACAGACCUAGUAUUUGUCUGGGGCUGGCUGUGCACCCAGAAGGCCAUUCGCUCCAUGAAGAACAUGACAGAGGUACCUGGUCCUACCUGGAUUCUUGGGCAUGCGGGCAGCAGCAGCAACAGCAGCCACAGUGAACUUCAUCCUAAGGAAAUUAAGUACACGUUGCUUGAGGCUGCUGUGGGGGUGCCAGGUUACAUCAUCUGGAGACUGAGAACUUGGGAUGCUCCUUGUUCAUCCAAGCAUUUGAACAAAUCCAGUGUCCUUUUUGAGCAAAAUAUGAGCCCCACCUUUAGAAUCUAUGAAUCUCCCCUUCAGAUGGGAAAGCUGUUUUUGUGGCUAAAAUUAGAAACAACCCAAAUGUCUAUGAAAUGA